rnacentral:rRNA from 1 species
ACGUAGGACCCAAGCGUUAUCCGGAUUUACUGGGCGUAAAGAGUUGCGUAGGUGGUCUGUUAAGUAAAUAGUGAAAUCGUGUGGCUCAACCAUGCAUCCAUUAUUUAAACUGGCAGACUUGAGAGCGAGAGAGGUAGAUGGAAUUGCUAGUGUAGGAGUGGAAUCCGUAGAUAUUAGCAGGAACACCGAUGGCGUAGGCAGUCUACUGGCUCGUUUCUGACACUAAGGCACGAAAGCGUGGGGAGCAAACAGGA